GCUCAGUAACACGUGGACAACCUACCCUCCGGACGGGUAUAAACCCGGGAAACUGGGUAUAAUACCCGAUAGGUCUCGAUUGCUGGAAUGCAUCGAGAUUUAAAGCUCCGGCGCCUAAGGAUGGGUCUGCGGCCUAUCAGGUAGUAGUGGGUGUAGCGUACCUACUAGCCUACGACGGGUACGGGUUGUGAGAGCAAGAGCCCGGAGAUGGAUUCUGAGACACGAAUCCAGGCCCUACGGGGUGCAGCAGGCGCGAAAACUUUACAAUGCUGGCAACAGCGAUAAGGGAACCUCGAGUGCCAGGUUACAAAUCUGGCUGUCGAGAUGCCUAAAAAGCAUUUCAUAGCAAGGGC
rnacentral:rRNA from 1 species